AGUCAAAAGAAGAAGAGCUCCAAGGUACCUUCUUCCCAUUGAUACCAAUUCUAGUUCUGAAGGGGAAUCAGACCCAUUGCCCACAGUUUUUAUGGAUAAAGAUAGGACUCAAGACACAGAUAAUAGCACUCCAAAUAAUAAUGCAAUGGAUGAGCAAGGAGAAGAAGAUAUCGAUAACAUUGAAGGACAUGUAGAGCCUACAGAGUCAGAAGAACAUUUGGAACAAGAUGAAGAACAUUUGGAACAAGAGGACGAGGAGGGCCAUGAAGAAGAUGAG